rnacentral:misc_RNA from 1 species
CAGAGUUCAUGCCCUCACGGGUAGAUCUCCCACCCUUGAAUAUUAUACCUUUGUUGCUUUGGCGGGCCGCUUCGGCUACCGGCUUCGGCUGGUGAGUGCCCGCCAGAGGACCCAAAACUCUGUGUUUAGUGUCGUCUGAGUACUAUAUAAUAAGUUA